UUCAAACUUAAACUCAGGGAUCGGAUUAGCAUGGAAGAUGCAGCACUCUUUACAUUUUAAAUGUAUAUUGCCACCCUAGAAGUCAAAAUCAAAUGUAUAUCAAGUGUUAUCCAUCCUCAUAACACCUCCACAAAUAGAGACUGAAACUUCUGAGCACCAUCACCUUGUCUGCUUUGGGACUGUCAUAGCCCAGCAAUCAGAUGCAUCAGAACAACAAAGCACAACUGUGGUGGCCCAGGCACCUUCAGCAACAAAGAUCUAACAACACUGUCAGUCAGGAGCAUAUUUAACAGGAGCCACACUCAACUGGCUUGAUGGUGACUUCAGUGCAGUGAAGAUAUUUAAAGAGACACUAUCACUAUCUAAAGUACAGAAAGCCGUACAUCAUCUCUACGUGCAGUCACCUACAGUGCAGUCAGCUUCACAAAGACUGUGGGGCUGGUCACCAGAAAAAUGGACAACAGGGAGUGCUUUUGGGGUUUUACUCCUCAAAUGACCACCCUGGCUACUGUAGCUGGGAUUGCUUCACAGACGAUGGAGGUCUUGAAGAGUAAAGUGUGCGUGCGUGCGUGCAUGCGCACACAUUAUGUUUUUACUGUAACAAUUAUGGUCACUUGCAGUUCAUGUGUUUUCAGUGUAGUGUAAGAUG